rnacentral:rRNA from 1 species
AUUGAACGCUGGCGGCAUGCCUUACACAUGCAAGUCGAACGGUAACAGGUUAAGCUGACGAGUGGCGAACGGGUGAGUAAUGUAUCGGAACGUGCCCAGUCGUGGGGGAUAACUUCUCGAAAGAGCAGCUAAUACCGCAUACGACCUGAGGUUGAAAGCGGGGGAUCGCAAGACCUCGCGCGAUUGGAGCGGCCGAUAUCAGAUUAGGUAGUUGGUGAGGUAAAGGCUCACCAAGCCGACGAUCUGUAGCUGGUCUGAGAGGACGACCAGCCACACUGGGACUGAGACACGGCCCAGACUACUACGGGAGGCAGCAGUGGGGAAUUUUGGACAAUGGGCGCAAGCCUGAUCCAGCCAUGCCGCGUGCGGGAAGAAGGCCUUCGGGUUGUAAACCGCUUUUGUCAGGGAAGAAAAGGUUCUGGCUAAUACCUGGGACUCAUGACGGUACCUGAAGAAUAAGCACCGGCUAACUACGUG